AUCCAUACUUACUAGAGCUUCCACACCUACAACCCACAUUUUUCUCUCUUCGCCAAAUCAUCAUAUUGUUUGAUUUAGCAUCGAUUUAAAAGGCCCAUAUAUACUCCAGCUGCUAAGUAAUUGCUUUCUUGAUUUUGCUGGCCUUACUUUCGCAACAGGUCAGCCCCACACCAUCCACAGGUUCUUACAGAUUCUGUUUGUACUUAGAUAUCCUUUGACCAUCGAGAUAGUCAGCAUGAGAUGCUGAAUAAGCAAACACUAUCUAAACCAAUGGUUCUCAGCCUGUGCGUUGCAACCCCCUUCAGUUCCAAUGACCCUUUCUUCACAGAAGCUGCAUAUCAGAUGUUUACAUUAUGAUUCAUAACAGGAGCAAAACUACAGUUAUGGGUAGUAUGGUGUGUGUGUGGGGGGGAGGUCACCACAACAUGAGGAACUGUAUUAAAUGGUCACAGCAUUAGGGAGGUUAAGAACCACUGCUCUAGACUAUUAAAUUCUUGACCUCAGGCUUAGGUCUUAUGUUUGCUCAUCUGCCUUCUCCAUAAAAUAAAAACUUAAAGAUCUUGUUUGAUUUUAUUGAGUGUCAUCUUCCCAAGCCAAUCAGAGAAAACUAAUAGCUAUUCUUUUUCUUCCCUUCAGCAAGAGUGAAAGCAAGGAUUUGUACUAUGAGUAUUUACACAAAGUCAUCAAUUACUAAUAGAGACCAUUAUUCUACAUGAAUCAGAUUGAACUUGUACUGCCGGUUUACACCAGCGGUGGUUGAAAGUAAUGAAGGCAAGGCUCUGCUGAUGCUGGAAACAAUACCAAAUCUUAUUGUGGAACAAAAAAUUCUGACAUCUGUUUUCUUCUUCAAUUCAACUUGAGUGAAUUUAUAAUCGUUUUCAAGAAGCUCCUAACCUUGUGGAAACAGAUUAGCACUGAGUGCAUUUGCGAGUUUGGUUUACGCGGUCUUAAAAGUAUGAGUCACAGUGCAAUGUGUGUGUUUACGAACAUCCUUUGGGCAUAGUGAACAACAAAACAGUGAAGACACUUCGGCUGUUUCUUAAAAUAAGGACAAGCCUCUCUCAUAAAGUCUGAGGAAUGGAAUCCUGUGGAACCAAAGAAGAAAAACUCACUUUAUACUCAACUGUUUCAAGCUUGAAGAGCCUUAAUCUCUAUUUGUCCCUCGGAGUCUGAGGACAGGAUAUAAAUGGGGUGCUGCUGGUGUAAGAUGAUGGAUGAGGGUACCCUCUGGUUGCCAGAGGAUCUGUGACCAGCACAAAAACUGCUUGGUCUGGGUUAAUUAAUUGCAGGAACAGUUUAUUCUGAUGCAGGGCAAGCACCUUGGCUAAAAUCUCAGCAUCUGUGUUGAUUAAAGAUCUG
rnacentral:lncRNA from 1 species